rnacentral:rRNA from 1 species
AUUGAACGCUAGCGGGAUGCCUUACACAUGCAAGUCGAACGGAGUGGCGAACGGGUGAGUAAUGUAUCGGAACGUGCCCAGUAGCGGGGGAUAACUACGCGAAAGCGUAGCUAAUACCGCAUACUAUUGGAGCGGCCGAUAUCGGAUUAGCUAGUUGGUGGGGAAACGGCUCACCAAGGCGACGAUCCGUAGCUGGUUCGAGAGGACGACCAGCCCCACGGAGACUGAGAAACGGCCCAGACCCCUACGGGGGGCAGCGGGGGGGAAUUUUGGACAUUGGGGGAAGCCCGGAUCCGCCCAUCCGGCGUGUGCGAUGAGGGCCUUCGGGUUGAAAGCACUUUUGGCAGGAAAGCGGUACCUGCAGAAUAAGCACCGGCUAACUACGUGCCAGCAGCCGCGGUAAUUC